ensembl:lincRNA
AUGGUGGCUCAUAGGAGGGAGAGACAGAAUUGCUUAAUUGGAUCCUUCACAAAAACUGAUAUUCAUCAUGAUUCAACUUCCACUGUAUGCCAGGAUUACAGCCUCUUGGAAUAUGUAGAGGACUUCCAAGGUAGUCAGAGACGUUUGUACUGCGUGGCUCCGGGAAAAGCGUAAUGAGUGAGCCAAGGUCAAAAGUCACCAUCCCACUUCAAAGAAGCUGACAGCUGUGGGGGAUUCACAGAGGCAGUUUACAGGAAGUUUGAUAUUCCAGUUCUUUCAGCCAAUGCAAG